GAUCCUGGCUCAGGACGAACGCUGGCGGCGUGCCUAACACAUGCAAGUCGAGCGGAGCCAUCCGAACAAACCCUUCGGGGGGCGAUCGGGGAAGCUUAGCGGCGGACGGGUGAGUAACGCGUGAGUAACCUGCCCAUUAGUGGGGAAUAACACAGAGAAAUUUGUGCUAAUACUGCAUACGAAGUAAAAAAGCGCAUGCUAAUUACUUGAAAGAUUUAUCGCUAAUGGAUGGACUCGCGUCUGAUUAG
rnacentral:rRNA from 1 species